CUGAUGGAUUAGUGGAGGCAGGAAGUGGUUUGGGGCGUGUACUCUAGCCAUCCCGGUAAUGUUACAGAUUAUUGUCUUCCAUUUGCUGCAACUAUAUACCAAAUCAGCAACAUAUUAUUGUAAAAGUGAUAAAUCAGCAACGGACAAGGAAUUUUAGAAGAAAGAUUUAUUUGAGAAAAUACUGUCAUUGACAAGUGCGCCCUGGAACAAUGAACUUGGAUAAUAUUGAUGUCUCUGUUAUUAUCCCAGUUCACAAUGGCGCUGUGUGGCUGGGUGAGUGCCUGGCAUCUGUGUUGAGGCAGCAGCACACACUCACCGUGGAAGUGUCUGUGUUCUUGGACUCGUGUAAGGACACCUCUGAGGACAUUGUACAAGGCUGGGCUGUGAAGCUUGAAGAUCAAGGAUAUGUUAUUACAGUUGGCAAAGAGAACAAUGAUAAACCUAAAGGAGUUGGAUAUGCCAAAAAUAAGGCAGUUGAGCAAAGUCAUGGCGAGUUCCUGUGUUUUCUUGAUUCGGAUGAUGUCAUGUUACCAACAAGACUACAAAGGCAAUAUGACCUGGCAUUUCAUAGUUGUAAUGCUAUUGUUGGAAGCAGAUUCAGUCGUGAUCCACCAGACUCGACAGUGCGUUACACCAAGUGGGCAAAUGGUUUGACUGCAGAACAACUAACUUUACAGAUAUAUACAUCACAUGGUCCAACAGUUAUAAUGCCAACGUGGUUCAUCCAUCAUACUGUUUUUGAAAGAGUUGGAGGAUUUAGUGAUGCAGGAGCAGGAACUCCAGAAGACCUUAUUUUCUUCUUCACCCAUCUAAAAAGGGGAGGCAGAGUGGUGCGGCAUGAUGAAGAACUUCUUAUAUAUCGAUACCAUCCUCAGGCCACAACAUUUUCAAUUCAUGAGCAAACUAUAUGGGACUUAAGGGUGAGAGUAAUCCAAGAUGAAGUUCUAAGCUCUUGGCCAUCAUUCACAAUAUGGAAUGCUGGAAAACAAGGACGUAAAUUCUACAGAUCACUCACGACAGAUAACCAGAAGAAGGUAAUGGCAUUCUGUGAUGUGGAUGUUAAAAAAAUUGGAUCAUUCUACACAUAUGAAGAAUCUCAAGAGAAACCAAAGCCAAGAAUACCAAUGAUUCACUUCAAGGAAGCCAAACCACCAUUGAUAAUCUGCAUGAAAAUGGAACUGACCGAUGGUGUGUUUGAAGAAAAUCUGGCUUCACUACAGCUCAAGGAGGGCACAGAUUAUUUCCAUUUUAACUAGGUAUGUACUUGUACCAGAAGAGGGAGCUUAAAUGUAAAGGUUGCUCUUAACAGGCAGAAGGUCUAAUUAGAGCAUACAUUAUAACCACCUGGGGAAUACAGUACUGUAUACACUUGUGCUUAACUAUUUUGCAAUGAUUCCAUGGCCAAUUUCCCAUCUUGGAUUCACUCAAAUUUCCCAGGUGAUUUUACACAAACCCAAGGGAGGAUAUUGUAGCUGCUCAGCUAUUGGCUCUACAAGAAAUAGGUAGAACAGAAGAGAAUGUGCUGUAGAUUACCUGUCAGCUUGAGACUAAAUGAACCUCAAAUGGCAGUUUUAAGUUCUAAAAUUACAAUGGACGUAGCUGGGUGGACACAUGCUCCCAUUAGACCUCCUGCCUCUUAGAAAGCAACCUUUGCAUUCAUCUGAGACCAGAAGAUAUGACAGGAAGGAAAAGGUGAUCAUAAGAUCAGACCCCAGCUACCAAGAUGGAUCAUCCUCAUCAUUCCAGCAGGCAAGUGUAGUGGCAAGAGCCACUUCUGCAGACUCAGUGACAAAAAAUAAAAUGAAAAUAGAAGUUAAUAAAAUGUAUAGCUGAGA